rnacentral:lncRNA from 1 species
UUUUUUGUAGUGAUAAAUUUAUAUUAUUAAUAGAAGUAUAUUAAAAGAAAAUAAAUAAUAUUUGAAAAACUGAAACUACCAAUCAUUCAUAUUCCUAAUAAUAUUGAUGACAAAAAUGGAUUAUAAUCAAAAUUGUCCUUUGAAAGGAAGGAUGGGUUACUAAAAAUAAAAUGUAAAGGGGCUAGAAAUUGCAAGUUGUGAAAAUACAUGUAUUUGGCGUUACAGCCAUAUGCAUGCAUGUUGUUGCCACUUAUAUUUAAUUAAUACUCCCAAAAACUGGCAAAGCUACCUCAUUUUUAAAUUAUUUAGUAUUUUUUUUAAAUCAACUUGUGAAAUUAAAAUUUGGCUGCAUACCAUUAUUGUUGAAUUUAUUUAGUACAAGAAGUCUUUCCUUUUACUUGCUUGUAUUUUUUUUUCCUUUGUCUGCCACGAAUUUUCAAUGUUAUACCCACCAUCAUAGAUGUUUGCUAUUAAUUUCAAUUAUCA